rnacentral:lncRNA from 1 species
GCCGGCGCGCGUGCGGAGGCGUCGCCAGCGCCUGGGGCCCGCGGAGACGUCGUCGCCUGAGGCUUCGCCCGGGAGUACCUCACGCGUGGUGCGCGGCUGGCAGCCCCGGGAGCGCUGUGGCCAGGGCCCGGAUGUGAUCUGCCUGGAAUAUCGCAAGUUCUGUAGAAGUUUCAGUGCACACUCCAGGGCUUUAUUCCUGUGAUUGAAUGUGGCUGGAUCGGGGAGGCCCUCUGAAUUCAUUUCAGGCGCAUAGGCAAGUGUAUAGGUAAGUUGUUUGCCCAGCAACUUGUGCAUGCAGUGUGGUGAGACCCACUGUAUAGGUAGUUGU